UCGAAAUCGGUAGACGCUACGGACUUAAAUAAUUUGAGCGAAAAUCCGUUGGCUUUAUUGACCGUGAGGGUUCAAGUCCC
rnacentral:tRNA from 2 species